UACAGAGGUGGCAAGCGUUGUUCGGAAUUACUGGGCGUAAAGGGCGCGUAGGCGGCCUUCUAAGUCAGACGUGAAAUCCCCCGGCUUAACCUGGGAACUGCGUCUGAUACUGGGAGGCUUGAGUAUGGGAGAGGGAUGUAGAAUUCCAGGUGUAGCGGUGAAAUGCGUAGAUAUCUGGAGGAACACCGGUGGCGAAGGCGGCAUCCUGGACCGGUAUUGACGCUGAGGCGCGAAAGCUAGGGGAGCAAACAGG
rnacentral:rRNA from 1 species